GUUAUAGUGUGUGUGUUGUGU
rnacentral:piRNA from 1 species